AUGAAGUUGGAAUUGCUAGUAAUCGCGGAUCAGCAUGCCGCGGUGAAUACGUUCCCUGGCCUUGUACACACCGCCCGUCACACCAUGGGAGCCGGUAAUACCCGAAGUCAGUAGCCUAACCGCAAGGGGGGCGCUGCCGAAGGUAGGAUUGGCGACUGGGGUGAAGUCGUAACAAGGUACC
rnacentral:rRNA from 1 species